UGAUUGGGUAACAUUUGAUAUUUUGAAGAAUCAUGCAAGUCAUUAUCCAGUUGUUUGGACAAAGAUACCGCCUACAACCUACCCUUUCACUUUCA